CCAAAGGCUCUUUUCAGAGCCACUCACUCGGCAGGAAAAGACCUGU
rfam:TPA: Bos taurus chromosome X, whole genome shotgun sequence.